GCUUGUCUCAAAGAUUAAGCCAUGCAUGUCUAAGUAUAACUCUUUUACUUUGAAAACUGCGAACGGCUCAUUAAAUCACACCUAAUCUACUGGAAAGUUACUAGUUACUUGGAUAACUGAGGUAAUUCUUGAGCUAAUACAUGCGAAAAAUCUCGACUCACGGAGAGAUGCUUUUAUUAGAUCAAAACCAAACGGCUUCGGCCGUCUCAUUGGUGACUCUGAAUAACUUUGGGCUGAUCGUAUGGCCUUGUGCCGACGACGUUUCCUUCGAAGGUGUGCCCUAUCAACUGUCGACUGUGAUAUAGACGCUCACAGUGGUUUUGACGGGUAACGGGGAAUCAGGGUUCGAUUCCGGAGAGGGAGCCUUAAAAACGGCUACCACAUCCAAGGAAGGCAGCAGG
rnacentral:rRNA from 1 species